rnacentral:rRNA from 1 species
GUAGGUGGCAAGCGUUGUCCGGAAUUAUUGGGCGUAAAGCGCGCGCAGGGCGGUCCUUUAAGUCUGAUGUGAAAGCCCACGGCUCAACCGUGGAGGGUCAUUGGAAACUGGGGGACUUGAGUACAGAAGAGGAAAGCGGAAUUCCAAGUGUAGCGGUGAAAUGCGUAGAGAUUUGGAGGAACACCAGUGGCGAAGGCGGCUUUCUGGUCUGUAACUGACGCUGAGGCGCGAAAGCGUGGGGAGCAAACAGGAUUAGAUACCCUGGUAGUCCACGCCGUAAACGAUGAGUGCUAAGUGUUAGGGGGGGUUCCGCCCCUUAGUGCUGCAGCUAACGCAUUAAGCACUCCGCCUGGGGAGUACGGCCGCAAGGCUG